GUCUGCAGGUGGGACAGCAGCCCGUCGCUGCCCUCCUCCCAGCCGGGGCAGAGCACGGCCGCGCCACCACGGUCCCCGUCGCCCCCCCGCAGGACGGCCAGCAGCAGGCCGCCCAGGGAGGACGGAGCAAUUUAGAGUGGCUAACUCCGCCUCCGAUUUACAAGCGAGUCGCGCGUUGAGCUGGAGGCUCUCCAGCGGAAAACCGGAGACAACGUGCAAACUCCUCACUGGAGCUGAGAUUCCAACCCUGAACCUGAGAACUGCGAGGCAGUCUGCAUCUGGUCACAUCAUCCCUGCUCCUUGCGUCAACCAAUCAGCUCCCUCCAGCCACUCAUGUCUUGUCCAGGUGUGCCUCGUUGUCUUGUAUUGAGUUUGUUCAGUGGGUGUCUGCUCUAUUUUUGUGUCAUUGCUGUCGUUCCUAUUCACCUCAUGUUUCAUGUAGUGGUUAGUGUUUUUUUGUUUUUUGUUUUUUUAACUUUGAAUCUUAUUUUGCUACUAUGUUAGUUUAGUAUUUAAAAAUGUCCACGUCUUGUUAGCCUUUUUUUCCACCUUAUAAAACCAACAUACAGUAUUUCUUUACAUUCUCUUUAAUCAUCGUUUUUUUAUGGUUUUAUAUGAUACGCUGGCGCAGAGGUUGUGGACGCCUGCCCGAGCCCGUGAAUAGCCGCUUUGCUUCCUCCUCAGACCGUAAACAAAGCUUGUAAUGAGGAAGGAGGGAUCGGGAUUGAAAGCGGGCGAGGCAGCAUUCCAAAACAACACUCCGGCGAACACAUUCAUAUUUCGGCAGGUGUCCGUGCGGCGCGACGCGGAAGAUAGCGGCUGUAAAUAUAUGUUGGCGAUGAAAGACGGGCAAAGAAGACUGAUAUGUGGGGUUUAAUAUCCGCACUUGUGAAAAGGGACUGAUAGUUUGCAGCUUGAAUGAGAACGAGAGGUGUUGCGUGUCUCUGUGUGUGUGUUCUCUCGGCAGGGUGCGAAAUCUGAUUUCAAACACCAUAAACUCAAAAUAAUGAAACACGAGAUAUGCAAGUCACUCUUACCCCCUUUUUUUUUUUUUUGUUAAAUCUAUAUUUAUAUAUAAAAACACAUUUACCAUAAAAAGACUGUCCAGGACAUGCCAAAGCAACAGGUAGCUAGCUUUAGCUAAUCACAACCCUGAUUUUCCUGUGGUGCAGGGUGUGUUAAGCGGGGUACACAUAUACCGAUAAUCGGGCCGAAUUUGAGCAUUUUCGCUCUCUUGCCAGCAAAAUCAGUAAAGGCCCGAUUCCCAGAUGUCUCGAAAAGAUAAUCCUGAGCGCUUAUUCUGCGGUGCGGGUGUGUGUUAAGAGUGAGUUUUUCUUCCCAAUCUUGACAUUGAUUAAAGAUGGGUCUACGCAUACCAAUAAGCAUAUUCCCUCCGUUACGAUCAAAGUCAGAAAAGGCCUGAUUUUCGGAUGAUCCCGAGCAUUUAUCCUUUGGUGUGGGAUGUCUAAAGCAGGGUCCACACAUCAACAAUUGGGUCCUUCCUUUGUGAUCAAAUUCGGAAAAGGCACGAUUGUUGGAUGUUUCUGAAAGAUUGUCCUGAGCAUUUAUCCUUUAGUGUUGGGUGUUAAGAGUGAAUUUUCUUCUGUGUGCUCGACUUGAAUACUCAUGACUUUUUGGAACACACACAUGCCAGCAUACGCCGAGUAUCUGAGAAAAUGUACAUGGAAUGUCAAAACAGUCCAUUAUGUAUUGAUGAAAUACAUUUUCAUGUAAUAACAUCACGUUUUGUAAUAAAA